rnacentral:rRNA from 1 species
UACGUAGGGUGCGAGCGUUAAUCGGAAUUACUGGGCGUAAAGGGCGCGCAGGCGGCUGCUCAAGUCAGGCGUGAAAGGCCUGGGCUCAACCCGGGAAUUGCGCUUGAGACUGGGCUGGCUUGAGUGCGGGAGAGGAUGGUGGAAUUCCCAGUGUAGAGGUGAAAUUCGUAGAUAUUCGCAAGAACACCAGUGGCGAAGGCGGCUCACUGGCCCGAUACUGACGCUGAGGCACGAAAGCGUGGGGAGCAAACAGG